UAUAAUUUUCAUAUCUAUUAUUACAGCCUGUAUGCCGAUUCGCAAUAUCAAUGAACGGUGCUAAACUGAAGACUGAAAGGUCCUGCAGCACAUACAGAAAAUGUGUUGAAGCUAUGAGAAACAAUACCCUUACAUGCAAUAAACGGACGAAUGGCACGUCUUGUACUGGUUGUUGCGUCGGACACUUAUGUAACAAGAAUGAUUUCAUUGGCUGGACCAAAUCCCUCGUAUUUCGUUUGAUUUUUAAAAAGUUCAACGAAUAUAAAAUCCCGCUGAGAACAUAUCAAGAGCCAUUGAGCAUGACCUUUCAACCGUGACGGGAACAUUUAGAGUUGAAGACUGUGGCUCAAACAGAAAUAAAAUAUUUGCUAUUUACUGUACAGUAUUUAGCGAAAUGACUGAAAGUCAACUGCGGCGCAAUAUCUCCCAAGUUUUGAACAAAUCCCAGGAAUUGCUUAACUUAGGAGUUAAGAAAAGCCACAUGAAAUUCAUUGAUGAAAGUAAGUA